rnacentral:rRNA from 1 species
CAGCAGCCACGGUAAUACAGAGGGUGCGAGCGUUAAUCGGAUUUACUGGGCGUAAAGCGUGCGUAGGCGGCUUCUUAAGUCGGAUGUGAAAUCCCUGAGCUUAACUUAGGAAUUGCAUUCGAUACUGGGAAGCUAGAGUAUGGGAGAGGAUGGUAGAAUUCCAGGUGUAGCGGUGAAAUGCGUAGAGAUCUGGAGGAAUACCGAUGGCGAAGGCAGCCAUCUGGCCUAAUACUGACGCUGAGGUACGAAAGCAUGGGGAGCAAACAGGAUUAGAUACCCCCGUAGUCCCUGUCUCUUAUAC